rnacentral:rRNA from 1 species
CCUACGGGAGGCAGCAGUGGGGAAUAUUGCACAAUGGGGGAAACCCUGAUGCAGCGACGCCGUGUGAGUGAAGAAGUAUUUCGGUACGUAAAGCUCUAUCAGCAGGGAAGAAAAUGACGGUACCUGACUAAGAAGCCCCGGCUAACUACGUGCCAGCAGCCGCGGUAAUACGUAGGGGGCAAGCGUUAUCCGGAUUUACUGGGUGUAAAGGGAGCGUAGACGGCAGCGCAAGUCUGGAGUGAAAUCCCAUGGCUUAACCAUGGAACUGCUUUGGAAACUGUGCAGCUAGAGUGCAGGAGAGGUAAGCGGAAUUCCUAGUGUAGCGGUGAAAUGCGUAGAUAUUAGGAGGAACACCAGUGGCGAAGGCGGCUUACUGGACUGUAACUGACGUUGAGGCUCGAAAGCGUGGGGAGCAAACAGGAUUAGAUACCCCUGUAGUC